AUCUGGUUUCUACAUCAGCUUUUAUCUGGUUUCUCCAUCAGGUUUUAUGUGGUUUCUACAUCAGGUUUAAUUUGGUGUCUACAUCAGGUUUUAUCUGGUUUC